GGGGUUGUGGCUCAGUGGUAGAACGCUCCCUAGCAUGUGAGAGGCCUGGGUUCGAUCCUCAGCACCACA
rnacentral:tRNA from 1 species